GGGGGGGGUCCAAAAAGUCUUUUUUAAGUAGAGGAAUAGGAUCACGGCUUCAAUUAUAUAUACAAUUUAAAAAAAAAAAAUGAAAAAUAAGAGAGGAUAGAUACCCAGGCAAAAAGUCGUGCGCUCCCCCAAUCGUUAGCUUUCCAUCGCCUUGACAUAGUAUGCGUUUAUUUAGGUUGACGAGGUUAUAAAAGAAAACGUGUAUAUUGCCGUUAUAAAUCUUUGGAUUGAAGUUUACAUAGCAGGCUUGCAUUGUGUAUAAUUUGCCAUCAAUGUUUUUUAUUUGCAUAACUAAAGAAUUGGUGCAGCCAAUAACUUCUUUACAUAGAUACGUAUUUUUAAUGUAUGAUUAUUUUUUUUUAAAUUAACCCCAUUCUACGAUGUUGUACAUUCCACUGUCAAGCGAAGGAAGAGUUGUCUUUCGUUCUUUCUGUUACAUUGAUGGUAUUGCAUGAUUUUGAUUUUCUGUCUCCGAUGUCUAUAUGUACUUUUAUUGUAAUGGUUUGUUAACCCUAACAAAGAGUUAGACGGAUAUAAUUGUUAUGAUAUUCAAAUUACUGUUACUGAUGUUUGCUGUUGUUAUACAAUUGUGGAAUUAAAAUUUUACCAAUGAU
rnacentral:sRNA from 1 species